AAAUUGAAGAGUUUGAUCAUGGCUCAGAUUGAACGCUGGCGGCAGGCCUAACACAUGCAAGUCGAAACGGUAACAGGAAGCAGCUUGCUGCUUUGCUGACGAGUGGCGGACGGGUGAGUAAUGUCUGGGAAACUGCCUGAUGGAGGGGGAUAACUACUGGAAACGGUGGCUAAUACCGCAUAACGUCGCAAGACCAAAGAGGGGGACCUUCGGGCCUCUUGCCAUCAGAUGUGCCCAGAUGGGAUUAGCUUGUUGGUGAGGUAACGGCUCACCAAGGCGACGAUCCCUAGCUGGUCUGAGAGGAUGACCAGCCACACUGGAACUGAGACACGGUCCAGACUCCUACGGGAGGCAGCAGUGGGGAAUAUUGCACAAUGGGCGCAAGCCUGAUGCAGCCAUGCCGCGUGUAUGAAGAAGGCCUUCGGGUUGUAAAGUACUUUCAGCGGGGAGGAAGGUGUUGCGGUUAAUAACCGCAGCAAUUGACGUUACCCGCAGAAGAAGCACCGGCUAACUCCGUGCCAGCAGCCGCGGUAAUACGGAGGGUGCAAGCGUUAAUCGGAAUUACUGGGCGUAAAGCGCACGCAGGCGGUCUGUCAAGUCGGAUGUGAAAUCCCCGGGCUCAACCUGGGAACUGCAUUCGAAACUGGCAGGCUUGAGUCUUGUAGAGGGGGUAGAAUUCCAGGUGUAGCGGUGAAAUGCGUAGAGAUCUGGAGGAAUACCGGUGGCGAAGGCGGCCCCCUGGACAAAGACUGACGCUCAGGUGCGAAAGCGUGGGGAGCAAACAGGAUUAGAUACCCUGGUAGUCCACGCCGUAAACGAUGUCUACUUGGAGGUUGUGCCCUUGAGGCGUGGCUUCCGGAGCUAACGCGUUAAGUAGACCGCCUGGGGAGUACGGCCGCAAGGUUAAAACUCAAAUGAAUUGACGGGGGCCCGCACAAGCGGUGGAGCAUGUGGUUUAAUUCGAUGCAACGCGAAGAACCUUACCUGGUCUUGACAUCCACAGAACUUUCCAGAGAUGGAUUGGUGCCUUCGGGAACUGUGAGACAGGUGCUGCAUGGCUGUCGUCAGCUCGUGUUGUGAAAUGUUGGGUUAAGUCCCGCAACGAGCGCAACCCUUAUCCUUUGUUGCCAGCGGUCCGGCCGGGAACUCAAAGGAGACUGCCAGUGAUAAACUGGAGGAAGGUGGGGAUGACGUCAAGUCAUCAUGGCCCUUACGACCAGGGCUACACACGUGCUACAAUGGCGCAUACAAAGAGAAGCGACCUCGCGAGAGCAAGCGGACCUCAUAAAGUGCGUCGUAGUCCGGAUUGGAGUCUGCAACUCGACUCCAUGAAGUCGGAAUCGCUAGUAAUCGUGGAUCAGAAUGCCACGGUGAAUACGUUCCCGGGCCUUGUACACACCGCCCGUCACACCAUGGGAGUGGGUUGCAAAAGAAGUAGGUAGCUUAACCUUCGGGAGGGCGCUUACCACUUUGUGAUUCAUGACUGGGGUGAAGUCGUAACAAGGUAACCGUAGGGGAACCUGCGGUUGGAUCACCUCCUUA
rnacentral:rRNA from 1 species